rnacentral:rRNA from 1 species
CGCCUAACACAUGCAAGUCGAACGAGCAAGAGAGAGCUUGCUUUCUCGAGCGAGUGGCGAACGGGUGAGUAACGCGUGAGGAACCUGCCUCAAAGAGGGGGACAACAGUUGGAAACGACUGCUAAUACCGCAUAAGCCCACGGGUCGGCAUCGACCAGAGGGAAAAGGAGCAAUCCGCUUUGAGAUGGCCUCGCGUCCGAUUAGCUAGUUGGUGAGGUAACGGCCCACCAAGGCGACGAUCGGUAGCCGGACUGAGAGGUUGAACGGCCACAUUGGGACUGAGACACGGCCCAGACUCCUACGGGAGGCAGCAGUGGGGAAUAUUGCACAAUGGGGGAAACCCUGAUGCAGCGACGCCGCGUGGAGGAAGAAGGUCUUCGGAUUGUAAACUCCUGUUGUUGGGGAAGAUAAUGACGGUACCCAACAAGGAAGUGACGGCUAACUACGUGCCAGCAGCCGCGGUAAAACGUAGGUCACAAGCGUUGUCCGGAAUUACUGGGUGUAAAGGGAGCGCAGGCGGGAAGACAAGUUGGAAGUGAAAUCUAUGGGCUCAACCCAUAAACUGCUUUCAAAACUGUUUUUCUUGAGUAGUGCAGAGGUAGGCGGAAUUCCCGGUGUAGCGGUGGAAUGCGUAGAUAUCGGGAGGAACACCAGU